GAGUUUGAUCAUGGCUCAGAUUGAACGCUGGCGGCAUGCCUUACACAUGCAAGUCGAACGGCAGCACGGGAGCUUGCUCCUGGUGGCGAGUGGCGAACGGGUGAGUAAUGCAUCGGAACGUAUCCUGGAGUGGGGGAUAACGUAGCGAAAGUUACGCUAAUACCGCAUAUUCUGUGAGCAGGAAAGCGGGGGACCUUCGGGCCUCGCGCUCUUGGAGCGGCCGAUGUCGGAUUAGCUAGUUGGUGAGGUAAAGGCUCACCAAGGCGACGAUCCGUAGCAGGUCUGAGAGGAUGAUCUGCCACACUGGAACUGAGACACGGUCCAGACUCCUACGGGAGGCAGCAGUGGGAAUUUUGGACAAUGGGGGCAACCCUGAUCCAGCCAUGCCGCGUGAGUGAAGAAGGC
rnacentral:rRNA from 1 species